rnacentral:rRNA from 1 species
UACGUAGGGGGCUAGCGUUGUCCGGAUUUAUUGGGCGUAAAGAGCGUGUAGGCGGCCAGGUAGGUCUGGUGUGAAAACUCGAGGCUUAACCUCGAGAUGUCAUCGGAAACCAUCUGGCUAGAGUCCGGAAGAGGAGAGUGGAAUUCCUGGUGUAGCGGUGAAAUGCGCAGAUAUCAGGAAGAACACCAGUGGCGAAGGCGGUUCUCUGGGACGGUACUGACGCUGAGACGCGAAAGCGUGGGGAGCGAAACAGG